ensembl:misc_RNA Y_RNA Y RNA
GGCUGGUCCGAUGGUAGUGGGUUAUCAGAACUUAUUAACAUUAGUAUCACUAAAGUUGGUAUACAACCCCCCCACUGCUAAAUUUGACUGGCUUUAA